AUUGAACGCUGGCGGCAUGCUUUACACAUGCAAGUCGAACGGUAACAGGCCGCAAGGUGCUGACGAGUGGCGAACGGGUGAGUAAUGCAUCGGAACGUGCCCAGUCGUGGGGGAUAACGCAGCGAAAGCUGUGCUAAUACCGCAUACGAUCUAUGGAUGAAAGCGGGGGGCCGUAAGGCCUCGCGCGAUUGGAGCGGCCGAUGUCAGAUUAGGUAGUUGGUGGGGUAAAGGCUCACCAAGCCAACGAUCUGUAGCUGGUCUGAGAGGACGACCAGCCACACUGGGACUGAGACACGGCCCAGACUCCUACGGGAGGCAGCAGUGGGGAAUUUUGGACAAUGGGCGCAAGCCUGAUCCAGCAAUGCCGCGUGCAGGAAGAAGGCCUUCGGGUUGCAAACUGCUUUUGUACGGAACGAAACGGUCUGGGUUAAUACCCUGGGCUAAUGACGGUACCGUAAGAAUAAGCACCGGCUAACUACGUGCCAGCCGCCGCAGUAAUAC
rnacentral:rRNA from 1 species